UCUCGGCUUAUCACCGGCAGUCCCCUUAGAGUGCCCAACUUAAUGCUGGCAACUAAGGGCGAGGGUUGCGCUCGUUGCGGGACUUAACCCAACAUCUCACGACACGAGCUGACGACAGCCAUGCAGCACCUGUGCAUGGAUCCCGAAGGAGGCUCCUCGUUUCUGAGGAGUUUCCCAUGCAUGUCAAGCCUAGGUAGGGUUCUUCGCGUUGCGUCGAAUUAAACCACAUGCUCCACUGCUUGUGCAGGCCCCCGUCAAUUUCUUUGAGUUUUAAUCUUGCGACCGUACUCCCCAGGCGGGAUGCUUAAUGCGUUAGCUGCGCCACGAGCAGGGUCGAUUCCGCUCACAGCAAAUGUGCACCGUUUACAGCUAGGACUAC
rnacentral:misc_RNA from 1 species